AGAGGAAGAUGGAAUUAGUUGUGUAGGGGUAAAAUCCGUAGAGAUAACUAGGAAUACCAAAAGCGAAGGCAAUCUUCUGGAACACUACUGACGCUGAGGCGCGAAGGCGUGGGGAGCAAACAGGAUUAGAUACCCUGGUAGUCCACGCAGUAAACGAUGAAUGUUAGUCGUCGGGUAGCUAGUCUAUUCGGUGAUGCAGCUAACGCAUUAAACAUUCCGCCUGGGGAGUACGGUCGCAAGAUUAAAACUCAAAGGAAUAGACGGGGACCCGCACAAGUGGUGGAGCAUGUGGUUUAAUUCGAAGAUACGCGAAGAACCUUACCUAGCCUUGACAUAUAUUAGAACUCCGCAGAGAUGCAGAGGUGCCUUCGGGAGCUUUUAUACAGGUGCUGCACGGCUGUCGUCAGCUCGUGUCGUGAGAUGUUGGGUUAAGUCCCGCAACGAGCGCAACCCUCGUCACUAGUUACUAACGGUUCGGCCGAGGACUCUAGUGAGACUGCCUUCGCAAGGAGGAGGAAGGUGAGGACGACGUCAAGUCAUCAUGGCCCUUACGGCUAGGGCAACACACGUGCUACAAUGGCCAGGACAAUGAGACGCGAUACCGCGAGGUGGAGCAAAUCUAUAAACCUGGUCUCAGUUCGGAUUGUAGUCUGCAACUCGACUACAUGAAGCUGGAAUCACUAGUAAUCGUAGAUCAGCUAUGCUACGGUGAAUACGUUCCCGGGUCUUGUACUCACCGCCCGUCACACCAUGGGAGUUGAUUUCACCCGAAGCGGGGAAGCUAAACUGGCUACCCUCCACGGUGGAAUUAGCGACUGGGGUGAAGUCGUAACAAGGUAACC
rnacentral:rRNA from 1 species